rnacentral:tRNA from 1 species
AAAAAAUUAGUUAAUUUAUAACAUUAGUUUGUCAAACUAAAAUUAUCAUCACAUAUAUUGAUAUUUUUUA